rnacentral:rRNA from 1 species
CCUACGGGAGGCAGCAGUGAGGAAUAUUGGUCAAUGGGCGCGAGCCUGAACCAGCCAAGUAGCGUGAAGGAUGACUGCCCUACGGGUUGUAAACUUCUUUUAUAAAGGAAUAAAGUGAGGCACGUGUGCCUUUUUGUGUGUACUUUAUGAAUAAGGAUCGGCUAACUCCGUGCCAGCAGCCGCGGUAAUACGGAGGGUUCGAGCGUUAUCCGGAUUUAUUGGGUUUAAAGGGAGCGUAGAUGGGUUGUUAAGUCAGUUGUGAAAGUUUGCGGCUCAACCGUAAAAUUGCACUUGAUACUGGCAGCCUUGAGUACGGUAGAGGUAUGCGGAAUUCGUGGUGUAGCGGUGAAAUGCUUAGAUAUCACGAAGAACUCCGAUUGCGAAGGCAGCUUACUAAACUGCCACUGACAUUGAUGCUCGAAAGUGUGGGUAUCAAACAGGAUUAGAUACCCGUGUAGUC